UCCUGGUGGCUCAGAGGGUAAAGCGUCUGCCUGCAAUGCAAGAGACCUGGGUUCGAUCCCUGGGUCAGGAA
rnacentral:tRNA from 1 species